CUUUGAACUAACAUUUAAUUUGUAAUUUGAAAAACUACGGCUUCGGAGUCGAUGCUCGAAAAGAUGAUGGCUCUGCUAUCUUUGAGCUGUCAAAGUUGUCAAACAUCAAAUGUGUGACAAAAUGAGGUUAGACCGGCAAGUUCGUAAAUAUUUUCGAAUUUGAGGGUUCUAACUUUUAUAGCGACAGGCAUUAGUUCAAUUAAAGGUCUAUAUACAAACAGACCUAGAUGCCUACGAUAAUAGAUGCAAUCCGCUCAGUUCAACAAUACCAACGAAAUGCCUACGAUAAUAGAUGCAAUCCGCUGAUUCCAACAACACCACCGAUUAUAGAUGCCUACGAUAAUAGAUGCAGUUCAACGAUAAUUAAUAUAAAUGAAGUUCGCCGAUGAAUUUAAUGUCCUUCUCCAAGUGAAUUCUUGCGCUUGCAAUGAACGCCUUCUGAACGUAUGAGACUGAAACCAAAAAACCAUUUUGUGAACAAUGCGAUGAAUAUAUUUGUACCUUGAACUUACCUGGACGUCAAUAAUUUUGAACAGUGUGAUAACGCUCGAAACAUUCAGGAACAUGCAGCGCUACCAGACAUUUCUUACAUUCCCAAACAGUUUCACUCCGCUUCUGAUGUUUCUUACAAACUUUGCAGGCCCGAGUAGGAUUUUGUUUCUUUAAAGUUUCGGGAAUGUGCCGCGGAAAAUGUCCCCAGUGAAUUGAUUGAAGUCGUAAAGGGGUAUCACCUUGAGCUGGACGUCCUUUGUUGUUGUAAUCGGGUAACGAUAAACUUUUCAACAAUUGUUCAGCGACAUCCAAUCGGUAGUUUACGUAAUGAUUUUGUUUUGCUCUCGUUUUAGAGUACAGCACGUACGAAUUGAAGAGCCCCAUGUCGAACAGGUAGAAGAAUAUCUUACGAUAUCCCUUCAAAAAUUUUCUCAUCACCGGAAAACAGGCCAACACUUGAUCUUGAUGAUCCACACCGCCCAUUCCAUGGUUAUAUUCGAUUACACAUUUCGGCUUCAACGUGUUGUUUCCUGUAGACGUUCCCCCUUUUUUAAACUUUUUUUUUUCGACGGCAGUCAUCUCAGCAUUUUUGUGCUUUGUAGACAACAAAUACACAUCCUUUCGAUCGCUCCACUUUAGGGCCAAAAUUCCAUGGCUUGAUCUAGCUGCUGUUUCACCUUUUUUGAGUUUGAGUGAUUCAAGAUCCUUCGGCAUGUUCUUGCGAUUGCUUCUAACAGUUCCGAUAGCAUUCGUGUCAUGCUCAAGUAGAUAAUCAAAUAUAUUCGGAGACGAGUACCAAUUAUCUAAAUAAAGCGUGUAGCCCUGGUUGAUAAGCGGCUCCAUAAGGUCUCGAACCACAGUUUCUGACACAUUGAAGUCGUUUUCACCGUCUUUAUCCUGUCCGCCAGUGUAUAUUUUAAAGUUUAAGCAAUAACCAGAGUUCGAUUCGCAUAAUUUAUAAAACUUGAUACCAUAACGAGCUCUUUUGAUACGAACGAAAACCACACAUCCUAGCCGACCUUUGAAUUUCAUCAAUGACUCGUCGAUCGAUACAUUUUGUUCCGGAGUAUACAGUUCGUCGAACUUAUCAUUCAAAUAAUCCGCAAUAUUACGAACUUUUGUCAUUUUGUCAUCUUUAUCAGACGACUCAUUAUUCACAAAAUGCAAAAAGCGAGUUAUACCCAAAAAACGGCGAUAAGGCAUUGUCUGUGCAUAAAUCGGAGUGAAAACUAUUGCUCGCUUCGACCAAUUCAUCUGGACAGUGGGUUUUUUAACUUGUGUCAUCAAAACGCUCAAUGCAAUAUAAGCUUUCAUUUCAUCAAUGCUCACCGGGAACCACUCUUCAUCAAUUUUUUUAGUUUUUGAAUUUUCUUGAAUGACCUGCUCAGCGUAUCGAUUGGUUUCUUCAGUUAACUUAUCCCAAAAUUCUUGAUCAAAAACUUCGUUGAAGACUUUCAGAGCAGAUGGAUCGUCUCCCAAACGAUGAAGCACAGGAUUUUUCAGGCCAGGAGUAGCAGUAAACUUCUUGAUUUGUGGAACAUUAUCUCCUUUCUUCCAAACCCAUUCUUUUUGAUCAGCGACUUUUCGUUGUUUUGCCGGCGGAAAGGAAUAAAAAAGGUCUUCGUCACUUUCAACCUCACUGCCGCUCAUCCAUUCCGAAGAAUCAGAAUCUUCGGAAGAAAUCUCCUCGUCAGAAGAAUAAGAAAAAUCACUUUCGUUAUCGGAAGACAUUUUUGAGAAUGAAAAUAUAAACAAAAACUGUGACUUAAGAUUUUUAUUCAUAGCUGUUAACUAGAUCAAAAUUUAAAUUUCAAUCAAAUUACAUGAAACGAGAUGUGCUCGUGCUUUUAGGCUAAAGGGUUUUAACACUCACACCUACAAUUUCACACCCUUGAAAUAGUGACACUGGUCACACACCCACCAAAUUUGCUUUCUACGGUAAAAACUUUGAAUAAAAAUUGGAAUUAAACUCUAUUCUAAUUAACCUCUUGUGUGUAUUUUUAUGAACUGGGAAACGCGACUCCCAAUUCUCUAAUGACCCUUUUACGUCGCUACGCUGCAUCAAGAUGACUUUGCAAUCGUUCAAAUAUUCACAUAACUAGAGAAUCUAACAGCAACCAUGUCAAUUCACACAAUGGAUAACUGCUCGGGUACGUUGCCCAUUAAGUGAUGAUCUUUUGGCUUAAUCCCACAGUAAAACUAAUUAAGAAAAAUUAAAAUUUUAAAGUAGAAGAAUUUUAAGCAAAUUCAUUUGUUUGUUUGCUAUUCAAAACCUAAACCAGAACCGAACCUGUUACCUCAUCCUCAACUCUAAAAGUGUUAGAUUGAUGUGAUGCGUACAUGCGUUGUUUUGUUAUAUUCUACAGCAAAAAUUGUUCAGAAAUGUAUCUAAAGUUGGUUCUAAAAUUGUAAUGCAGGUUAAUUAAUUUCAUGUUUUUAUUUUUCAAUUGUUUUUUUUUACGGUACACUUUAAUGCAUAAAAACAAUCGCAUAGCAAAAUACAAUGUAUUUAUUCUAUUGUUGGGAACAUCGGUCAUAUCACGCGGUUCAAAUAUGGAUUGUUAUUUCCGAUACCGAGGACAAGAAUCGUCGAAGCGUAAAUAAAUUGUUGAUAAUUUUUUGUAACUUCAAGAAAGAACCUUCUAGCUGCUACUGUGCGAAGUUGUGAUAUACUGAGAAUUGGGAUUAUCUUUAAAUUGGCUUCUUAAUUUGUGUAUACACUCAAUUUUCUUCGUGAUGUAAGUAUAACAUACGUGGUCUUAUGUUAUAAAUUAUGAUAUAGUAAAGUGAACGUGUAUUGACGGCGGGCGUGUAAAUGAUACGUGUGUGUCGCAUAACAGUAUGUAUUUUACUGAAUGUUUCUGCAGAAUUCAUUAUUUGACCUUAAUGCAGUCAUUGAUAACGAAUAUUAAAUCAAAAACAAUUGACGUAAAAAUCUGGAACGUUUUUCAGACAACUAUAUUUCAUCUGUUGAAACCGCAACGACAGAGAUUCAUGUCGCAAUAAAGAAAAGUUAUGAUGAAACUGAUAAAGUAAAAGAUUUUUCUAUCAAUGUUUCUAAAAUACUUUUAAUCAAAUGAAGUAAUAGAUUCGACGAUUCUGUGAUAUCCUUGACUAACUGGGAAAUUGAAGAAUGACUACACCAACCCCCAUUUUCCGUCGAAGCUAUACAUCCCAGCAUAUUAACCCUGUUCUCUACACGCUUUACAUUACCUCCUGUACAAUAGACCCUCUGCUUGUGUUAGCAUUACGAACAAUUGACAUUCAUCAAUAUGUCGUGCAUGUAGAUACGUGUAAAAUUUUAUUGAUGUCACAAUUUGAUGAUUUAUGAAUAGUUGGAAAAACUAUGACAAAUUAUCGUGUGUUUGUUGUUGUUGUUAGUUGUUCUACGUUGAAUACGCAGUUAAAUAUAAAGUCAUAAUUGGAUACUUAAUGGAUCGUAACAAAAUGGGUGAAAGUGUGGGAUUAUGGUUUUAGCUAUGAAUGAACUUGUAGAUAAUAUUCUAAAGAAUUUAUUCUAUCUACUCCUAAAACUAUCAAAAAUUUGUAACCCGCUAAGUAGAUAAAGUCUAAACAGACAAUAGAAUGAAAAGUUUACACCAUUUCUGUUAAAUUGAUUAACGUAACACCAGUAGCUCAUCGAAAAGAACAAAACAGGAAGAGGAAGGACGGUAAUUUAAGAACGUUGUAAAAUAUGGCUAGAAUGUCAUGAAACUGAUGUAGUAAAUGUUAUGUGCUGUGCAACCCAUUUGAAUAUUCCUAGACUACGACACUGUAAUAACAAUUAACUCUAAUUGCUCUAUUCGACUACUAUGAAUGGAGUAUGUAAAUUUGGAACACCUUGACAGUAUGUAGAAAGAAAAAAGGCCUAACGCACAUCGAAUAAAUAAUUGAAUAUUAUGAUAAUGGAACUAACAAAGGCAAAUUACAAACUUAUUAUUUUAAGCAUUUUGUUGUUAGGAAUUUCGUAAAUCUUUGGAAGAACGACCUGCUUAAUGUAAUACUCUAUGAGCGUGACACUAACUAAGUAUGAUGUUUACGCUAAUUGAAUUUUACAUAUCGAAGUGCAGUGAGUGUAUGCCGUGAAAUUGUCGUUUCUUACAUGAGUUAGUAAAUCUAGAAAAAUUUCCAAUCUCACAAUAACUUAUGUUAAACUUCUGUUUGUUGUAGUAAAUUAGCCAAAACCAACGCACUUUAAGAAAACUGAUCAUAGUCUAUACAGUUGCCAAAUAGAGUACUAUUUUGUAUGAAAUGGUUUUUUACCGUGUUUUACCAUUGUGUUACGAAGUGCGUUGUCAAAACACAUCGAUGACCGUUAGCAACUCAGUUUUGAGCACCCGUCCUAAACGUUUCUUUUCAAAAUGAAAGUCUCUAAGUCUCCUUCCCAGUGGGAUGAAGAAAAAAGAUUUUUGACCGAGUUACGAUAAGAAGUACUUUCGGUUCAUGUUUAUCAACACAAUUCAGAUGAUGCAUGUCUAAUAUUGUGAUAAUGAAGACUAAUUUCUCUAUUUUCAUUCUC